rnacentral:rRNA from 1 species
UACAGAGGUCUCAAGCGUUGUUCGGAAUCACUGGGCGUAAAGGGUGCGUAGGCCGCACGGUAAGUCAGAGGUGAAAUCCCGGAGCUCAACUCCGGAAUGGCCUCCGAUACUGCCGUGCUCGAGGACUGGAGAGGAGUCUGGAAUUCACAGUGGAGCAGUGAAAUGCGUGGAUAUUGUGAGGAACACUAGUGGCGAAGGCGAGUCUCUGGACAGUUCCUGACGCUGAGGCACGAAGGCCAGGGGAGCAAACGGG